GAUGAAGAACGCAGCGAAAUGCGAUAAGUAGUGUGAAUUGCAGAAUUCAGUGAAUCAUCGAAUCUUUGAACGCACAUUGCGCCUCCUGGCAUUCCGGGAGGCAUGCCUGUUCGAGCGUCAUCAAACCCCAUCGUGCAAAUGAAUUAUUUUUUUUGCGCGGAAGUGACGAUUGAGCGAGAAUAACAAAUCCUCUCGCACCUCGUCGAAAUGAUUGCGGGCGGAAUUUGGGAUCGGGUUCCUCGGCGUAGUGUAUCGAUGCAUAUUUAUGCAACUUGCCGCGGAGUUGAGCCUGACCCACGCGUUCUCGCCGUACAAACACCUCAUUACUUUACAAGUUUUUGACCUCGGAUCAGGUAGGGAUACCCGCUGAACUUAAGCAUAUCAAUAAGCGGAGGA
rnacentral:misc_RNA from 1 species